UAGGAUUGGAUAGGAUGUCAUAUGUUGGACACCAUCCCAUCUCUGAUGCAGCGUGAUAUUAAAAAUUGGACACCAUCAUAAUGGAGAAGCGAAACAAAACAAGAUAGAGGAAAAAGAAAAGAAUAACAUAGAAAAAUAAACAAUUAAUUGAAUCACAUUCGCAAGAGGCCAGCAGCAUUUACAAAAGCAAGCCACAACCCACAACUAAAUAUGACCAAUACCAUUGGUAGCUGCCAUUGACAGAUGAUGCUUUAGUGAACCAACUGUACUCCUAUGUCUAUAUCACAAUAAUUUUUAGCUCAUAAACAAGUUCAUAAUUUAACUACUCAGCAAUGUUAAAACAAUAAUUGUCUUUGAAUCACCAAACAUAAUCUCCUCAAAUAGGGAAUUUAACCACUGGAAAAUUAUCUGUUAAAUAUGCUAAUACCCACUUCUUUCUUCACCAGAAGUCUCAUCUCAUAGAAGAGUACGUAAAAUAAUAGAACCAACCUAUAGAACUGCCACUUAAGUUUCAUGUCCAGGACCCUAGUCCUAAAUAACUACAAUUAUAGCUAUUAGAUCUAUGAAAUCAUACUCUAAUACUAAAUCAAUUUCAAACUUGUCAACACAUAUGUUCAAAGACAAACCUU
rnacentral:misc_RNA from 1 species